rnacentral:rRNA from 1 species
GAUGAACGCUAGCGGCAGGCUUAACACAUGCAAGUCGAGGGGUAGAGGUCGCUUGCAACCUUGAGACCGGCGCACGGGUGCGUAACGCGUAUGCAACCUACCUUUUACAGAGGGAUAGCCCAGAGAAAUUUGGAUUAAUACCUCAUAGUAUAUAACCUUCGCAUGUUGGUUAUAUUAAAGUUCCAACGGUAAAAGAUGGGCAUGCGUCCUAUUAGCUAGAUGGUAAGGUAACGGCUUACCAUGGCAACGAUAAGUAGGGGUCCUGAGAGGGAGAUCCCCCACACUGGUACUGAGACACGGACCAGACUCCUACGGGAGGCAGCAGUGAGGAAUAUUGGACAAUGGGCGCAAGCCUGAUCCAGCCAUGCCGCGUGCAGGAAGAAGCAUCUAUGGUGUGUAAACUGCUUUUGUACAGGAAGAAACACCCCGACGUGUCGGGGCUUGACGGUACUGUAAGAAUAAGGAUCGGCUAACUCCGUGCCAGCCGCCGCAGUAA